GACGUAGGGCGCGAGCGUUGUCCGGAAUUAUUGGGCGUAAAGAGCUCGUAGGCGGCUUGUCGCGUCGACUGUGAAAUCCCAGGGCUCAACCCUGGGCCUGCAGUCGAUACGGGCAGGCUAGAGUGCAGUAGGGGAGACGUGGAAUUCCGUGGUGUAGCGGUGAAAUGCGCAGAUAUCAGGAGGAACACCGGUGGCGAAGGCGGGUCUCUGGGCUGUAACUGACGCUGAGGAGCGAAAGCGUGGGGAGCGAACAGG
rnacentral:rRNA from 1 species